rnacentral:rRNA from 1 species
CCUACGUGUGGCUGCAGUGGGGAAUAUUGGACAAUGGGCGAAAGCCUGAUCCAGCCAUGCCGCGUGUGUGAAGAAGGCCUUCGGGUUGUAAAGCACUUUCAGUGGGGAAGAAAGCCUUGGGGCUAAUACCCUCGAGGAAGGACAUCACCCACAGAAGAAGCACCGGCUAACUCCGUGCCAGCAGCCGCGGUAAUACGGAGGGUGCGAGCGUUAAUCGGAAUUACUGGGCGUAAAGCGCGCGUAGGCGGUCUGAUAAGCCGGUUGUGAAAGCCCCGGGCUCAACCUGGGGACGGCAUCCGGAACUGUCAGGCUAGAGUGCAGGAGAGGAAGGUAGAAUUCCCGGUGUAGCGGUGAAAUGCGUAGAGAUCGGGAGGAAUACCAGUGGCGAAGGCGGCCUUCUGGACUGACACUGACGCUGAGGUGCGAAAGCGUGGGUAGCAAACAGGAUUAGAUACCCUAGUAGUC